rnacentral:rRNA from 1 species
UACGAAGGGUGCAAACGUUGCUCGGAAUUAUUGGGCGUAAAGCGCACGUAGGCGGCUUGGCAAGUCGGAUGUGAAAUCCCUCGGCUCAACCAAGGAAGUGCAUCCGAAACUGCUGAGCUUGAGUACUUAAGAGGAUCGCGGAAUUCCCGGUGUAGAGGUGAAAUUCGUAGAUAUUGGGAAGAACACCAGUGGCGAAGGCGGCUCACUGGCCCGUAACUGACGCUGAGGUGCGAAAGCGUGGGGAGCAAACAGG